rnacentral:snRNA from 1 species
AUACAUUUCUAGGCCUUUUGGCUAAGACCAAGUGUAGUAUCUGUUCUUAUCAGUUUAAUACCUGAGAUGUGAACCAUCGAUUCACACGAUAUUGACUUGAUAUUUUAAGGGGUAGAGUUCAUUAAGGAAGCUUGCUACCCGGGUUCUCGAGCGUCGCCCAUGCGAUUCACUACAACAUGGGCCUGGCGCACCCCAC